rnacentral:rRNA from 1 species
GAUGAACGCUGGCGGCGUGCUUAACACAUGCCAGUCGAACGGAAAGGCCCAAGCUUGCUUGGGUACUCGAGUGGCGGACGGGUGAGUAACACGUGGGUGAUCUGCCCUGCACUUCGGGAUAAGCCUGGGAAACUGGGUCUAAUACCGGAUAGGACCACUUCUUGGAUGUUGUGGUGGAAAGUUUUUUCGGUGUGGGAUGAGCUCGCGGCCUAUCAGCUUGUUGGUGGGGUAAUGGCCUACCAAGGCGUCGACGGGUAGCCGGCCUGAGAGGGUGUACGGCCACAUUGGGACUGAGAUACGGCCCAGACUCCUACGGGAGGCAGCAGUGGGGAAUAUUGCACAAUGGGCGCGAGCCUGAUGCAGCGACGCCGCGUGGGGGAUGACGGCCUUCGGGUUGUAAACUCCUUUCGCUAGGGACGAAGCGUUUUGUGACGGUACCUGGAGAAGAAGCACCGGCUAACUACGUG